rnacentral:rRNA from 1 species
AACGAACGCUGGCGGCAUGCCUAACACAUGCAAGUCGAACGAUGCCUCCGGGCAUAGUGGCGCACGGGUGCGUAACGCGUGGGAAUCUGCCCUUGGGUUCGGAAUAACUCGCCGAAAGGCGAGCUAAUACCGGAUGAUGACGUAAGUCCAAAGAUUUAUCGCCCAAGGAUGAGCCCGCGUAGGAUUAGCUAGUUGGUGGGGUAAAGGCCCACCAAGGCGACGAUCCUUAGCUGGUCGGAGAGUAUGAUCAGCCACACUGGGACUGAGACACGGCCCAGACUCCUACGGGAGGCAGCAGUGGGGAAUAUUGGACAAUGGGCGAAAGCCUGAUCCAGCAAUGCCGCGUGAGUGAUGAAGGCCUUAGGGUUGUAAAGCUCUUUUACCCGGGAUGAUAAUGACAGUACCGGGAGAAUAAGCUCCGGCUAACUCCGUG